UGGGGAAUAUUGCGCAAUGGGCGAAAGCCUGACGCAGCGACGCCGCGUGAGGGAUGAAGGUUUUCGGAUCGUAAACCUCUGUCAGAAGGGAAGAAACCGCACUGUGCUAAUCAGCAGUGCCUUGACGGUACCUUCAAAGGAAGCACCGGCUAACUCCGUGCCAGCAGCCGCGGUAAUACGGAGGGUGCAAGCGUUAAUCGGAAUUACUGGGCGUAAAGCGCACGUAGGCUGCUUUGUAAGUCAGGGGUGAAAUCCCACGGCUCAACCGUGGAACUGCCUUUGAUACUGCUUAGCUUGAAUCCGGGAGGGGGUGGCGGAAUUCCGGGUGUAGGAGUGAAAUCCGUAGAUAUCGGGAGAAACAUCAGUGGCGGAGGCGGCCACCUGGACCGGUAUUGACGCUGGGGUGCGAAAGCGUGGGGAGCAAACAGG
rnacentral:rRNA from 1 species